rnacentral:rRNA from 1 species
CGUAGGGGGCAAGCGUUGUCCGGAUUUAUUGGGCGUAAAGCGCUCGCAGGUGGUGCGUCACGUCGUGCGUGAAAGACCCCGGCUCAACUGGGGAGGGUCGUGCGAUACGGGCGGACUGGAGGCCAGUAGGGGGAUGCGGAAUUCCGGGUGUAGUGGUGGAAUGCGUAGAGAUCCGGAGGAACACCAGCGGCGAAGGCGGCAUCCUGGGCUGGUCCUGACACUCAGGAGCGAAAGCGUGGGGAGCGAUCCGGAUUAGAUACCCGGGUAGUCCACGCUGUAAACGAUGCGCACUAGGUGUCGGGGGUAUCGACCCCCUCGGUGCCGCAGCUAACGCGAUAAGUGCGCCGCCUGGGGACUACGGCCGCAAGGCUA